rnacentral:rRNA from 1 species
UACGGGGGGGGAGCAAGCGUUGUUCGGGAUUUACUGGGCGUAAAGGGGCGGGGUAGGCGGCCACCGCAAGUCGACUGUGAAAUCUCCGGGCUUACCCGGAAAGGUCAGCCGAUACUGCGGGGGCUAGAGUGCAGAAGGGGGCAACUGGAAUUCUCGGUGUAGCGGUGAAAUGCGUAGAUAUCGAGAGGAACACCUGCGGCGAAGGCGGGGUUGCUGGGGCUGACACUGACGCUGAACUGCGAAAGCUAGGGGAGCGAACGGGG